GCUCAGCUUGGUAGAGUGGUUUGAGUGUUGGACUAUGACUCCGGAGAUCAGGGUUCAAAUUACCCAGUUGGCA